CCCGAGUCGAGCGGCGAACGGGUGAGUAACGCGUGGAUGACCUGCCCUGAAGUGGGGGAUAACUCGGGGAAACUCGAGCUAAUACCGCAUACGAUCGAGAGAUCAAAGGGGGCCGCAAGGCUCUCGCUUUUGGAGGGGUCCGCGUUCGAUUAGCUAGUUGGUAGGGUAAUGGCCUACCAAGGCGACGAUCGAUAGCCGGCCUGAGAGGGUGAUCGGCCACACUGGAACUGAGACACGGUCCAGACUCCUACGGGAGGCAGCAGUGGGGAAUUUUGCGCAAUGGGCUAACGCCUGACGCAGCAACGCCGCGUGGAGGAUGAAGGUCUUUGGAUUGUAAACUCCUGUCGGCAGGGAAAAAGGGAAUCGGCCUAAUACGCCGGUGACUUGAUUGUACCUGCAGAGGAAGCCCCGGCUAACUCUGUGCCAGCAGCCGCGGUAAUACAGAGGGGGCAAGCGUUA
rnacentral:rRNA from 1 species